rnacentral:rRNA from 1 species
UACGUAGGGUGCGAGCGUUAAUCGGAAUUACUGGGCGUAAAGGGCUCGUAGGCGGCCAACUAAGUCAGACGUGAAAUCCCUCGGCUUAACCGGGGAACUGCGUCUGAUACUGGAUGGCUUGAAUCCGGGAGAGGGAUGCGGAAUUCCAGGUGUAGCGGUGAAAUGCGUAGAUAUCUGGAGGAACACCGGUGGCGAAGGCGGCAUCCUGGACCGGCAUUGACGCUGAGGAGCGAAAGCCAGGGGAGCAAACAGG